rnacentral:lncRNA from 1 species
AGCCGCCCACAGAACAGGAGCCGAAACAACCGUUUCCGAAGGCUACAGCGUUUAUUUUUCUCUUUUGGGGAAUUUUGGCGGUUGUUUCAGGGGCUAGCCAACUGGCCCCUUUAAUUAAAAGCUUCAAUAAAAGGCGAUCGCUCCAGGAAUGCACCGGCUUCUCUUCGUGCAGGAUUUGCAUAUUUUUUUAAUGCCCUAAUUUCCUUGAUGUAUGUAAAUGUAGCCGGACGUAGAGGGAGACAGGGAGCUGACGUCAAUGGACGUGACCUCGCAGCUAAACCUUGAACGUGAAGCCGGGAUGGGGGAAAACACGGAGCGGCAGCCGGUGGAGCCCGAAAGCAUGUGUGGCUGUAUUUUCGGUGGCCGAGCCCCAGCCGGAGCUGCCAAGGGCUCCCCUAGCAGCCCCAGGGGAGGACAAGCCGCUGCCCCGUGGCAGUUGCCAGCCUUCCCACCACAUUCGCAGACUCUGGUUCUGCUCCUUCAGCCCCACUAAAUACAGGUUCUUUUUUUCUCUCCCGGGGAGGGUUGGGGAGAAAGAAAGAAAAUAGAAAAGAAAAGAAACAAACACACACCUAAAACAACAAACCGAAAACAACAGAUAACAAAAUCAACGAAUCCCAAGCGUUUCAGAACAACGCUUGGGUCGCUUGUCCAGUAAAAAGAUUGACAAUAGGACAUUAUUCUUUUUUUUUUUUUUUUCUUGUCUCCACAAGAAGAGGAGAGGGAGCAAACAGACACCAGCAAAGCAUUCCUGUAACACGAUGUGCUACACAAGUUCCCAGUAGCGACAGAAGAGAAGAGCGACAUAAACUAUUUUAGACGCAAUCAAGGAAGAAUCGCCCAUCAUGUGGAAUUGAGCGGCAGUUUUAAAUGUACUAAGAGAAGACUGGUCUCGAAAAAAAAAAAAAAAAACAUUUUUUUCCCCUUCUUUUUUUGGAGACGCCUAAAGGAGCCUGUUUGUGUGCUGUGUGGCCACGUUCUGCUGUGACUGGAUCUUGUCUUCUGCCUGGCUCCUCGAUUUCCGUCCGGCUGGAUUUGGGGACAACACUGCCUGGCGCAGACAGAUCAAAUGACACUUCAAAGAAGCAUAAAAUGAACAGACUAUUCAAACAAAGGUAAUUUACAUUUUUUUAUUUGAUAAAACCUGACUGAUGUACAAAACGAAAAUAGAAUAUUGUUUACUGGAAAACAGGUCUACAAUCUCUCACACAUCUUCUCUUGCAACAGAUAGAAUUCCAGAAACAUCUAAGUUCCUCUGUGUACAGUUAUUUCUCCUGUAGGAGCCUUUGUAUGGAUGUAAUACACACAUAUAUGUAUAUGCAUAGAGCAUGACAUAAAUAAAACCUGCAAUAGCCUAUAAGAAAGAAGCUCCUAUUUAGAGGAAAGGGUAAGAUACUUUUAUUAUAAUGAAAGCCAGUUCACUUCAUCACUUGGACCAUGGACACUAAUGUAAAUAAAAUGGCUUAAAAAAUAAGACAAUAGUAGUAUUGACUGUAGACUACAAUUUGCACAUUUGUAAUUCUUAUAAAUGAAAUAUUUAAAAUGAUUUGGUGUUGGGCCAGUUCCUUAUGCAUUCUGCAUUCAUGUGUAUAGGAUUCAAAGACGUUCCAAAUAUUGAUCAUAAACCAAGUGUAUAUGAAUUAAUUAAAUAGCAUAUUUCUGGCCCAAAUAUGAGGAAAACCAUAACUUUUUACUGUAAAUCAGGAGAGAUUGUUUUAUCCCCAAAUAAACUAGGAUGUUUCAAGUCAUGUUUCAGCAAUUUGGAGACCUACAAACUAUCUGCAAGCAAGCACAACAACCAUACUCUAAUCUACUAGAUAGUAGUGAGAAUUUAGUGCUUGAAUUCAGGCUGCUUGAAUUCAGUAUAUCCUUCUCUAUGCUGAUUUUCAAGUAGAUAUUCUGUAGCUCAGCUAGAUAAUCUUUUAAAAGCAAAAAAAAAA